GACGAACGCUGGCGGUGUGCUUCAUACAUGCAAGUCGAACGAUAAGGCCCUUCGGGGUACAUAAGUGGCGGACGGGUGAGUAACGCGUAGGGAAUCUGCCUUAAGGAAGGGGACAACGUUGGGAAACUGACGCUAAUACCCUAUAUGUGGCUAGCUGAGAUGCUUGUCAUGAAAUAUUCCGGCGCCUUAAGAUGAGCCUGCGUCUGAUUAGCUAGUUGGUGGGGUAAAGGCCUACCAAGGCGACGAUCAGUAGAUGGUCUGAGAGGAUGAUCAUCCACAAUGGGACUAAGACACGGCCCAUACUCCUACGGGAGGCAGCAGUAGGGAAUUUUGCGCAAUGGGCGAAAGCCUGACGCAGCAACACCGCGUGAGCGAUGAAGCCCUUCGGGGUGUAAAGCUCUGUCGGCAGGGACGAAUAAAUGACGGUACCUGCAAAGGAAGCAUCGGCUAACUACGUGCCAGCCGCCGCCGUAA
rnacentral:rRNA from 1 species